rnacentral:rRNA from 1 species
GAUGAACGCUGGCGGCAUGCCUAAUACAUGCAAGUCGAACGAGAGGAAGGAAAGCUUGCUUUUCUGAAUCUAGUGGCGAACGGGUGAGUAACACGUAGGUAACCUGCCCAUGUGCCCGGGAUAACUUCUGGAAACGGAUGCUAAAACCGGAUAGGUAACAGACAAGCAUUUGACUGCUAUUAAAGUGGCUAAGGCCAUGAACAGGGAUGGACCUGCGGUGCAUUAGCUAGUUGGUGAGGUAACGGCCCACCAAGGCCACGAUGCAUAGCCGGCCUGAGAGGGCGGACGGCCACAUUGGGACUGAGACACGGCCCAAACUCCUACGGGAGGCAGCAGUAGGGAAUUUUCGUCAAUGGGGGGAACCCUGAACGAGCAAUGCCGCGUGAGUGAGGAAGGUCUUCGGAUCGUAAAGCUCUGUUGUAAGAGAAAAACGACAUUCAUAGGGAAUGAUGAGUGAGUGAUGGAAUCUUACCAGAAAGUCACGGCUAACUACGUGCCAGCCGCCGCUGUAAAAC